GACACCAGACCUCUUCCACCACAAAGGGAGCAGCAAUUUGUCCUUACUAAACUGAAACCUAUCCUGGAUGGGAUGGGCUCUCCCUGCCCACAGCGUCUCUCACAGGCUUACACAAUCCCUGACGCACCAGGGGUCCUCACUGCAGACUUUCAUCACUGCAGACCCGGGCAGUCUACCUUCCCACUAACCAGCUCUAGACUUCAGACAAGCAAAUCUAUCCACGUUGGACAACUCCAAAGCCCAUUUUUUCAUAAAUAUCCAGUGCCCGAUUGGGCUGUCUCUCAGUGACCUGCCAGAGUGGCCUCAUACUGGCUCAACAGAGGCGACUGUUAAAUUUUCAAGAAUUUUGGUUAUUUCUGUCCCUGUGAAAGAGUCAGAAGAGUGGCAAGAGAAAGCGGAAGGAGAAGGCUAUCGGCUGCUGUUGGUGACUAGCAUUGCUGUGGUUGUUGCUUUUGUUGCUACUGGAGGACGUAUAGCCCCACAGUGUGUAUCCCGUAGGUUACACACUGGGUGUUAGCAGUUGGUGCCCCACUAGGAGUUCACCCCAAUAGAUUUUGUACAUCACAACCCAAGAAGGCCCAGUCACAAAAGACUCAGAACCCCCAGAAGACAGUUUCUGUUCUGCACUUUUGGCCUUAUCUUUAUUUCCCCUUCCAAAGGCAGCAAUAGUGACACGCAGCCCCUAAGAACCUGCUGGGCUCAUCCAUCGUAGACGGCAGUUGUUUACCUGCCAGCUUGUUCUCUUCUUUGCACUGAAAGAGACUGAGCUCCAGUACAAUCUACCCAAC
rnacentral:lncRNA from 1 species